rnacentral:ncRNA from 1 species
UUUUAAGAGCAUUCGGUGGAUGCCUUGGCACCAGGAGCCGAAGAAGGACGUUGUAGCCUGCGAUAAGCCUCGGGGAGCUGGCAAACGAGCUGUGAUCCGAGGGUGUCCGAAUGGGGAAACCCGGCCAGAGUCAUGUCUGGUUACCCGCGCCUGAAUAUAUAGGGCGUGUGGGGGGAACGCGGGGAAGUGAAACAUCUCAGUACCCGCAGGAAGAGAUAUUCCGUGAGUAGUGGCGAGCGAAAGCGGACGAGGCUAAACCGGGGGUGUGUGACAGCCGGCGGGCGUUGCACCCUCGGGGUCGUGGGACCUGCUGACCAGCUCUGCCGGGCUGGUGGGGAGUGAGAAAGUCGCGGUGUAGUCGAACGGUCUGGGGAAGGCCGGGGCACAGUGGGGUGAGACCCCCCGUAGACGAAAACGUCGUGGCCUCCUUGCAGGGAUCCCGAGUAGCACGGGGGCCCGUGAAAUCCCCGUGUGAAUCUGCCAAGACCACUUGGUAAGCCUAAAUACUACCUGGUGACCGAUAGCGGACAAGUACCGUGAGGGAAAGGUGAAAAGUACCCCCGGGAGGGGAGUGAAAUAGUACCUGAAACCGGAUGCUUACAAUCCGUCGGAGCCUCCAUUGCUGGGGUGACGGCGUGCCUUUUGAAGAAUGAGCCUGCGA